GGUGAACGCUGGCGGGCAGCCUAAUACAUUCAAGUCGAGCGAAAGGACGAGCAGCUUUGACCUGUAAAGGUAGCGACGGGCGUGUGAGUAACACGUGCAUCGCAAACUUCUUUGACUGGGCUAAUAUCGGGACACAGCAGCCACUAACAGCUAAUACGACCAACCGCAUAGCACAGUAGUGCAUCACGGCUUUCCCGUCUCUUAUAGCAGGAUCCGCAUCGCCUUAGCUAGUUGGUAAGGUAACGCCUUGCCAAGGCAACGUUGCGUAGCCGACCUGCGAGGGUGAUCAGCCACACUGGAACUGAGACACGGUCCAGACUCCUACGGGAGGCAGCAGUAGGGAAUCUUCGGAAAUGGGCGAAAGCCUGACGGAGCCAUACCGCGUGGGUGAUGAAGGUCUUCGGGUUGUAAAGCUCUUUUGUUAGGAAAGAACAGAUGAGUGAGCAACUCUGCACGUUUUGACGGUACCCAAUGAGUAAGCCACGGCUAACUACGUG
rnacentral:rRNA from 1 species